GGAAAGUGUCAGAAAUAGUGCCAGGACAAUGUUUCAUAGAGUGGAAUGAUUGACCUCAACACAAGUAUUAAAAAAAAAGAAGCAAAACAGGUGCCAGGACAAUGUUUCAUAGAGUGGAAUGAUUGACCUCAACACAAGUAUUAAAAAAAAAGAAGCAAAACAGGUCUACAUCUCAAAACCUGAUCUCUUCCUGGACUGGCUUUAGGAGAACGAUGAUGCAUAUCAAUUUCAUCCCUGAUCUCUAUGACACCUGUGGUGGAAGUGGAGGGCAAAUCGUAAUCAGUUUGGGUUCCAGCCCCGAGGACCUCUGUAAACUUUGCUUUUUGGUGAUGACUUAAUUUCCGAGCUUGAAAAGGACGCUUGUGUGUUUAUCAUGGCCUCUCAUAUUGGAAGAUAACAUUAAUGGCUUGUGUGUUGAUCGACGGUUGUGCAUAUCUCUUGGUCAGGACAGGUGUAGGCACCAUCGCCAUUGUAAAUCAUUUGACAGGCCUGAGUGAACGGGGCGACCUAUGAUUGGUCAGCAAUGUAUCAGAUUCCAUACCGGGGGGUGGGGAUGAAAAAACUGUUGUAGUGUUACAUAAUCAGAUUAUUUCAACUUACUUAUCCUGUGGAAAUACAGCUAUAUAGGAGAUAUUUUGAAAUUCAUAGGCACUGCAUGUUUCAACAUUUUAGAUUUGACCACAAUUUGGCACUUGAAACUAUGUUAACAGAGAAAAACUGUGUGGUUUUCGAUGAAAGUGUUAAAAGUCUAAUAUUGCAUCAUGAUUACUGUUUUAAAAAACAUGUGAGGUAUGAUGAUAUAAAGAAGCAUGGCCGACUCGGGAUGUUGAUAUUUUUUCAAGGGCUUAUUUCCUGAAGUUUUGAAUGGAAAGUGUCAGAAAUAGUGCCAGGACAAUGUUUCAUAGAGUGGAAUGAUUGACCUCAACACAAGUAUUAAAAAAAAAGAAGCAAAACAGGUGCCAGGACAAUGUUUCAUAGAGUGGAAUGAUUGACCUCAACACAAGUAUUAAAAAAAAAGAAGCAAAACAGGUCUACAUCUCAAAACCUGAUCUCUUCCUGGACUGGCUUUAGGAGAACGAUGAUGCAUAUCAAUUUCAUCCCUGAUCUCUAUGACACCUGUGGUGGAAGUGGAGGGCAAAUCGUAAUCAGUUUGGGUUCCAGCCCCGAGGACCUCUGUAAACUUUGCUUUUUGGUGAUGACUUAAUUUCCGAGCUUGAAAAGGACGCUUGUGUGUUUAUCAUGGCCUCUCAUAUUGGAAGAUAACAUUAAUGGCUUGUGUGUUGAUCGACGGUUGUGCAUAUCUCUUGGUCAGGACAGGUGUAGGCACCAUCGCCAUUGUAAAUCAUUUGACAGGCCUGAGUGAACGGGGCGACCUAUGAUUGGUCAGCAAUGUAUCAGAUUCCAUACCGGGGGGUGGGGAUGAAAAAACUGUUGUAGUGUUACAUAAUCAGAUUAUUUCAACUUACUUAUCCUGUGGAAAUACAGCUAUAUAGGAGAUAUUUUGAAAUUCAUAGGCACUGCAUGUUUCAACAUUUUAGAUUUGACCACAAUUUGGCACUUGAAACUAUGUUAACAGAGAAAAACUGUGUGGUUUUCGAUGAAAGUGUUAAAAGUCUAAUAUUGCAUCAUGAUUACUGUUUUAAAGUAUUUUCGUGUUUGAUUUAUAUUGAAUUCAUCUCAUCUUUUUGAAGAAUGCAUUUAUGUUCAAAAAUAAAAAUGUUCUGUGGAAUUCAAAAUUCAUGUGCUUUUAAAUUAUCAGAUUCCAAACUGGGGGGUAGGGAUGAAAAAGCUGUUGUAGUGUUACAUAAUCAGAUUAUUUCAACUUACUUAUCCUAUGGAAAUACAGCUAUAUAGGAGAUAUUUUAAAAUUGAUAGGCACUGCAUGUUUCAACAUUUUAGAUUUGACCACAAUUUGGCACUUGAAACUACGUUAACAGAGAAAAACUGUGUGGUUUUCGAUGAAAGUGUUAAAAAGUCUAAUAUUGCAUCAUGAUUACUGUUUUAAAGUAUUUUCGUGUUUGAUUUAUAUUGAAUUUAUCUCAUCUUUUUACAGAAUGCAUUUAUGUUCAAAAAUAAAAAUGUUCUGUUUAAUUCAAAAUUCAUGUGCUUUUAAAUUUCUGUCUGAAAUUCCGCAGUUUUCUGAUGCAUUAUAGUGUUUGCAGAAUGCCGCACAGCUCAUCUGAAAAUGCAUAGAUUUUCAUAUUCCUUGGUCAGGGAAUUGCAUAUAUGUUUGUUUAUUAGAUAACAACAGAUUUGUUUAAACUGCAGAAACAUGUGAGGUAUAUGAUAUAAAGAAGCAUGGCCGACUCGGGAUGUUGAUAUUUUUUCAAGGGCUUAUUUCCUGAAGUUUUGAAUGGAAAGUGUCAGAAAUAGUGCCAGGACAAUGUUUCAUAGAGUGGAAUGAUUGACCUCAACACAAGUAUUAAAAAAAAAGAAGCAAAACAGGUCUACAUCUCAAAACCUGAUCUCUUCCUGGACUGGCUUUAGGAGAACGAUGAUGCAUAUCAAUUUCAUCCCUGAUCUCUAUGACACCUGUGGUGGAAGUGGAGGGCAAAUCGUAAUCAGUUUGGGUUCCAGCCCCGAGGACCUCUGUAAACUUUGCUUUUUGGUGAUGACUUAAUUUCCGAGCUUGAAAAGGACGCUUGUGUGUUUAUCAUGGCCUCUCAUAUUGGAAGAUAACAUUAAUGGCUUGUGUGUUGAUCGACGGUUGUGCAUAUCUCUUGGUCAGGACAGGUGUAGGCACCAUCGCCAUUGUAAAUCAUUUGACAGGCCUGAGUGAACGGGGCGACCUAUGAUUGGUCAGCAAUGUAUCAGAUUCCAUACCGGGGGGUGGGGAUGAAAAAACUGUUGUAGUGUUACAUAAUCAGAUUAUUUCAACUUACUUAUCCUGUGGAAAUACAGCUAUAUAGGAGAUAUUUUGAAAUUCAUAGGCACUGCAUGUUUCAACAUUUUAGAUUUGACCACAAUUUGGCACUUGAAACUAUGUUAACAGAGAAAAACUGUGUGGUUUUCGAUGAAAGUGUUAAAAGUCUAAUAUUGCAUCAUGAUUACUGUUUUAAAGUAUUUUCGUGUUUGAUUUAUAUUGAAUUCAUCUCAUCUUUUUGAAGAAUGCAUUUAUGUUCAAAAAUAAAAAUGUUCUGUGGAAUUCAAAAUUCAUGUGCUUUUAAAUUAUCAGAUUCCAAACUGGGGGGUAGGGAUGAAAAAGCUGUUGUAGUGUUACAUAAUCAGAUUAUUUCAACUUACUUAUCCUAUGGAAAUACAGCUAUAUAGGAGAUAUUUUAAAAUUGAUAGGCACUGCAUGUUUCAACAUUUUAGAUUUGACCACAAUUUGGCACUUGAAACUACGUUAACAGAGAAAAACUGUGUGGUUUUCGAUGAAAGUGUUAAAAAGUCUAAUAUUGCAUCAUGAUUACUGUUUUAAAGUAUUUUCGUGUUUGAUUUAUAUUGAAUUUAUCUCAUCUUUUUACAGAAUGCAUUUAUGUUCAAAAAUAAAAAUGUUCUGUUUAAUUCAAAAUUCAUGUGCUUUUAAAUUUCUGUCUGAAAUUCCGCAGUUUUCUGAUGCAUUAUAGUGUUUGCAGAAUGCCGCACAGCUCAUCUGAAAAUGCAUAGAUUUUCAUAUUCCUUGGUCAGGGAAUUGCAUAUAUGUUUGUUUAUUAGAUAACAACAGAUUUGUUUAAACUGCAGAAACAUGUGAGGUAUAUGAUAUAAAGAAGCAUGGCCGACUCGGGAUGUUGAUAUUUUUUCAAGGGCUUAUUUCCUGAAGUUUUGAAUGGAAAGUGUCAGAAAUAGUGCCAGGACAAUGUUUCAUAGAGUGGAAUGAUUGACCUCAACACAAGUAUUAAAAAAAAAGAAGCAAAACAGGUCUACAUCUCAAAACCUGAUCUCUUCCUGGACUGGCUUUAGGAGAACGAUGAUGCAUAUCAAUUUCAUCCCUGAUCUCUAUGACACCUGUGGUGGAAGUGGAGGGCAAAUCGUAAUCAGUUUGGGUUCCAGCCCCGAGGACCUCUGUAAACUUUGCUUUUUGGUGAUGACUUAAUUUCCGAGCUUGAAAAGGACGCUUGUGUGUUUAUCAUGGCCUCUCAUAUUGGAAGAUAACAUUAAUGGCUUGUGUGUUGAUCGACGGUUGUGCAUAUCUCUUGGUCAGGACAGGUGUAGGCACCAUCGCCAUUGUAAAUCAUUUGACAGGCCUGAGUGAACGGGGCGACCUAUGAUUGGUCAGCAAUGUAUCAGAUUCCAUACCGGGGGGUGGGGAUGAAAAAACUGUUGUAGUGUUACAUAAUCAGAUUAUUUCAACUUACUUAUCCUGUGGAAAUACAGCUAUAUAGGAGAUAUUUUGAAAUUCAUAGGCACUGCAUGUUUCAACAUUUUAGAUUUGACCACAAUUUGGCACUUGAAACUAUGUUAACAGAGAAAAACUGUGUGGUUUUCGAUGAAAGUGUUAAAAGUCUAAUAUUGCAUCAUGAUUACUGUUUUAAAGUAUUUUCGUGUUUGAUUUAUAUUGAAUUCAUCUCAUCUUUUUGAAGAAUGCAUUUAUGUUCAAAAAUAAAAAUGUUCUGUGGAAUUCAAAAUUCAUGUGCUUUUAAAUUAUCAGAUUCCAAACUGGGGGGUAGGGAUGAAAAAGCUGUUGUAGUGUUACAUAAUCAGAUUAUUUCAACUUACUUAUCCUAUGGAAAUACAGCUAUAUAGGAGAUAUUUUAAAAUUGAUAGGCACUGCAUGUUUCAACAUUUUAGAUUUGACCACAAUUUGGCACUUGAAACUACGUUAACAGAGAAAAACUGUGUGGUUUUCGAUGAAAGUGUUAAAAAGUCUAAUAUUGCAUCAUGAUUACUGUUUUAAAGUAUUUUCGUGUUUG